AACGAACGCUGGCGGCAUGCCUAACACAUGCAAGUCGAACGAGACCUUCGGGUCUAGUGGCGCACGGGUGCGUAACGCGUGGGAACCUGCCCUUAGGUUCGGAAUAACUCCCCGAAAGGGGUGCUAAUCCCGGAUAAUGUCUUCGGACCAACGCUUUAUCGCUUUUGGAUGGGCCCGCGUUGGGUUAGCUAUUUGUUGGGGUAAGGGCCUACCAAGGCGACGGCGGGUAGCUGGUCUGGGAGGGGGAUCGGCCACACUGGGACUGAGACACGGCCCAGACCCCGACGGGAGGCAGCAGCGGGGAAGGUUGAACAAUGGGCGCGAGCCUGAUGCAGCACCGCCGAGUGCGGGAUGACGGCCAUGGGGUUGUAAUCCGAUUUCUGUAGUGACCAGGAUGUUUGUGACGGUACCUGGAGAAGAAGCACCGGCUAACUCCGUG
rnacentral:rRNA from 1 species